UACAGAGGUCUCAAGCGUUGUUCGGAUUCAUUGGGCGUAAAGGGCUCGUAGGCGGCCAACUAAGUCAGACGUGAAAUCCCUCGGCUUAACCGGGGAACUGCGUCUGAUACUGGAUGGCUUGAGUUUGGGAGAGGGAUGCGGAAUUCCAGGUGUAGCGGUGAAAUGCGUAGAUAUCAGGAGGAACACCGGUGGCGAAGGCGGGUCUCUGGACCGAUACUGACGCUGAGGUGCGAAAGCGUGGGGAGCAAACAGG
rnacentral:rRNA from 1 species